rnacentral:rRNA from 1 species
CUCAAAUUUGAAAUCUGGCUCUUUUAGAGUCCGAAUUGUAAUUUGUAGAAGAUGCUUCGGGUGUGGUUCCGGUCUAAGUUCCUUGGAACAGGACGUCAUAGAGGGUGAGAAUCCCGUAUGUGACUGGAUACCUAUGCUCAUGUGAAGCUCUUUCGACGAGUCGAGUUGUUUGGGAAUGCAGCUCAAAAUGGGAGGUAUAUUUCUUCUAAAGCUAAAUAUUGGCCAGAGACCGAUAGCGCACAAGUAGAGUGAUCGAAAGAUGAAAAGCACUUUGGAAAGAGAGUUAAACAGUACGUGAAAUUGUUGAAAGGGAAGCGCUUGCAAUCAGACUUGCACUUGGUGUUCAUCAGGGUCUCGUACCCUGUGUACUUCAUCAAGUUCAGGCCAGCAUCAGUUUGAGUGGUUAGAUAAAGGCUUAGAGAAUGUGGCCCUCUUCGGGGGGUGUUAUAGCUCUAGGUGCAAUGUAGCCUACUUGGACUGAGGACCGCGCUUCGGCUAGGAUGCUGGCGUAAUGGUUGUAAGCGACCCGUCUUGAAACACGGACCAAGGAGUGUACCUAAUAUGCGAGUGUUUGGGUGUUAAACCCAUACGCGUAAUGAAAGUGAACGCUGGUGAGAACCCUUAAGGGUGCAUCAUCGACCGAUCUUGAUGUCUUCGGAUGGAUUUGAGUAAGAGCAUAUUGGGUGCGACCCGAAAGAUGGUGAUCUAUACGUGAAUAGGGUGAAGCCAGAGGAAACUCUGGUGGAGGCUCGCAGCGGUUCUGACGUGCAAAUCGAUCGUCAAAUUUGCGUAUAGGG